rnacentral:tRNA from 1 species
GGCAGGGUAGCUCAGCGGUAGAGCAGGAGACUCAUAAGCUCUUGGUCGCGGGUUCGAUUCCCGCCCCUGCCACCA